UGGGAUUUGACUAAAGAGGCUAAAUAACAAAGCGAGUGGUGGUGUCUGGAAAUCAAGCUUCUAAAAUCAAAGAGGGGGCACAUCUAAUCAUGCAUUUUUAAGUCUGAUUUUGUAAUUUGGUCCUUCUUUUGGAUAAUUUAAGUGCAUGAAUUUGAGCAUCUGUAGGAAUCUCCUUAAUAUGAAAAAUACUCAACUAUCCUAACAUAACAAAUUGGUUACUCGGCAUGCGUUUUUUCACCAGGGCACUGAGUCUAUAUGUUGCUAACGAUGUUAUGUAAUAGAUCUUGGAGAGAAAUGCCAGUUGAUGGUGCUUUGUUUGCUUUUUUCCGAGUACUGAAAGUAUUCAUGU